GCAAACUUGGUCAUUUAGAGGAAGUAAAAGUCAUAACAAGGUUUCCGUAGGUGAACCUGCGGAAGGAUCAUCCGAGAAUGUUGGUGGGAGCCCUGCCCACCAUUCCACACACACCGUGAAUCGUGGCUCCGGCCCAAACUUUUUUGUCCAGAACGUGAAAUAACUAUAAAACUAUACAACUUUCAACAACGGAUCUCUAGGCUCUCAUGUGUAUAAGAGACAGGCAAACUUGGUCAUUUAGAGGAAGUAAAAGUCAUAACAAGGUUUCCGUAGGUGAACCUGCGGAAGGAUCAUCCGAGAAUGUUGGUGGGAGCCCUGCCCACCAUUCCACACACACCGUGAAUCGUGGCUCCGGCCCAAACUUUUUUGUCCAGAACGUGAAAUAACUAUAAAACUAUACAACUUUCAACAACGGAUCUCUAGGCUCUCGCAUCGAUGAAGAACGCAGC
rnacentral:misc_RNA from 1 species